rnacentral:rRNA from 1 species
ACCUGCCCAUUGGAAUCUAAAAGGCCGCGGUAUUAUGACCGUGCUAAGGUAGCAUAAUCAUUAGUCUUUUAAUUGAAGGCUGGUAUGAAUGGUUGGACAAGAAAUAAGCUGUCUUAAAUAAAAAUAUUGAAUUUAACUUUUAAGUGAAAAGGCUUAAAUUUUCUAAGGGGACGAUAAGACCCUAUAAAACUUUAUAUUUUAAAAUAAUAAUUAAUUUUAUAUAGAGGAUUUAUUUUUAAAUAUUUUAUUGGGGUGAUAAAGAUAAAAUGUAAGAUAACUGUCUUUUUUUUUUUACAAGUAAUAUUUGAAUAAAAGAUCUUAACAAAGGAAAUAAGAGAUUAAGUUACUUUAGGGAUAACAGCGUAAUUUUCUUUAAGAGUUCUUAUCGACAAGAAAGUUUGCGACCUCGAUGUUGAAUUAAAAGUUCUUUAUAGAGUAGAUAUUAUAAUAGAGGGUCUGUUCGACCCUUAAAAUUUUACGUG